GCUGCUAUAGUAAAAUGAUUACGUUUGCCCUCCAAGUGAAAGUUUCGGUAUAAAACAGACCGAUAGCAGCA
rnacentral:tRNA from 1 species